GUCCACAUCAGAAGUUAGCACUCACACACAUAGCAGCAAAUCAGAAAGCAGCAGCCACAAAGUUACUAGCAAGUCCAAGUCAGAGGAUGGUACUCCAGAAGAAGUCAGCAGGUCAGACAUACAGGAAAGCAGCCAAACUAGUAGUGGCAGUAACUAGUAAUUCCUUCAAAAGACAAUGAAAAUAUCAAGGGUCUCACUGAGAAAUGAAAAUGCAGCCAUUCUUGACCUGGUCACAGCUGAAGGAAACAAUAAACCGAGUGUGGAAC